UACGAAGGGGGCUAGCGUUGUUCGGAAUUACUGGGCGUAAAGCGCACGCAGGCGGCCUGUUAAAUUAGGAGUGAAAGCCCUGGGCUCAACCCGGGAAUUGCUUUUAAGACUGGCAGGCUCGAAUCCGGAAGAGGGUAGCGGAAUUCCCAGUGUAGAGGUGAAAUUCGUAGAUAUUGGGAAGAACACCGGUGGCGAAGGCGGCUACCUGGUCCGGCAUUGACGCUCAUGUGCGAAAGCGUGGGGAGCAAACAGG
rnacentral:rRNA from 1 species